rnacentral:rRNA from 1 species
UACGGAGGGAGCUAGCGUUGUUCGGAUAUACUGGGCGUAAAGCGCACGUAGGCGGCGCCGUAAGUCAGGGGUGAAAUCCCGGAGCUCAACUCCGGAACUGCCUUUGAAACUGCGGUGCUAGAAUCCUGGAGAGGCGAGUGGAAUUCCGAGUGUAGAGGUGAAAUUCGUAGAUAUUCGGAAGAACACCAGUGGCGAAGGCGACUCGCUGGACAGGUAUUGACGCUGAGGUGCGAAAGCGUGGGGAGCAAGCAGG